UUGCCUUCGGCUGGCAGUUCCGCCUCCACACAGAAGCCCGUCAAAAAAACACCUUCAUAAAUAUUGUAACAGAAGAGGGGGGAGGUGAGCAUGGAACAGGUAAGAUGUAGCUAACUGUGCAGAAAUCUUGUCUCUCUUAACACACUUGCAAGCCUCAAUAGGAAACAGGAUUACUUCGGUUAAAUGGAAGCUGGUCCGUGAGGGCAAAAAAAGCUCUUCCCCACCAACCUCAGCCCAUCUGCUUCCCUUCUUGCUUACAACCAGUUUUGAGGGUGGCACUGCCUGGCAGCUUCUUCCUCCUUAAGACUCAUCCAUACUGCGGUUUAAUGUUGAUUCUAAGUGUGUCUUGCACCUCCCUUAAUUCCAUAUGCUGUUCUCCUCCAAAUCACUGUCUUCCCACACUUUCCCCUUCCUUCCUUGAUCUGGAUUUUCCCAUGCUGCUCUCCUUACCCCUGCUAGGGGGAAAGCCAGACCAAGGGAAAUGAAAUCCUGGGAAGGCAACGAUUUGGAAGAGAACGCCAUAUGGACAAUGGAACAUUCAUGGAGGUAUGCGAAGCACUUAGUAUCCACUUUAAACAACAGUAUGGAUGAGCCCCGCAUCUCCGCGUCACCCUUGUGCAACUCAAGCAGGGAGGAGGAUGGGGACAAAACUAGGAUUAGUUGGCCCUGCCUGUCAUUGGCUCAGUCUCCUGUCUGUCUUUAGCUCUGGCUCCACCUACUGUUGGGCUCCAUGCCUUUCACCCCACCAGUCCCAGUGAGCAACAACCACCACAGAUUCAGUUAUUGUUAUGUUUUUGUUCCAGCAGAUUCCAGAUCAGAAUAGCAUCUCAUAACACCAUGCCUGUGUGGGAGGCUGGGUUGCCUAGCGAGUAAAAUCUUGAAUCAUGGAGACCAUGGAUCAUACUUGGUCUCCUUCCAUGGGCUUGACAUCUGGGCCUUCAGCAAAGUCAGUGGAAGUUUUUCAGGUGAGGAGAAGGAUGAUGUGUUGUUGCUAUAAGAAUACAGUCGUACCUCGGGAUACAGACGCUUCAGGUUACAGACGCUUCAAGUUACAGACUCCGCUAACCCAGAAAUAGUACCUCGGGUUAAGAACUUUGCUUCAGGAUGAGAACAGAAAUCAUGCAGCGGCAGCGGGAGGCCCCAUUAGCUAAAGUGGUACUUCAGGUCGAGAACAGUUUCAGGGUAAGAACGGACCUCCAGAACGAAUUGAGUUCUUAACCCGAGGUACCACUGUAUAAGGAGAGUCUGCAGGAUCAGGCCCGUGGCCCAUCUAAUCCAGCAUCCUUUUCUCACAGUGGCCACCCAGAGGCUUGUGGGAAUCCCUCAGGCAGGACAUUAGCACAAGACCACUUUCCCCUCCUGUGGUCUCCAGCAACUUGUAUUCAGAGCAUUACUGCCUCUGAGAUGGUCCUUUUCAGGUGGGGUGGGGGAAAACAGCAACAGCCAAUGCUUCUCCCAGUCUACUCUCUCCCUUCCCCGCCCCCUACCUUCCCUUUGGCGACCUGGCUGCUCAACAUGGGAGAGAAUCACAUAUCCUUUUAUGUUUAUGUUUAUUUUUUUAAGCCCGGGCCAGUGGAAAUCAAUAGCGUUGUGGCAGUCUCCUCUACAGAGCGGCGUCUUUCCAUGGGAUUUUCACAAAAGACCUUUCUAGUUACAUGUCAGAAAGGCGAGUUAUUUAUUCUAAUUUCCUCUCAGCCUGCCUGAGCAGCAGAAGCAUCUGCCUGCCUCCCUGGCUCUCUGCCCCCUCUGGGAAAUUCAUAGCGAUGAGGUAUUUGCGCCCUGGAAUCGAUGGUGCGAAAUGAAUUAUUGGCAGCUUUCUCAAAUCGGAGCCGCUGCUUUUUCUCUGUAGCUGUGGCUGCCUCAGCCCUGCUGAAGCUGGGAGCUGUCAUCACCAGAACCUGCGGUGACCCAGCCUACUGCAGAAACACUCGCAGGGUGCUGUGUUUCAGCACAGCUGUGAUACUAGUUUCCUUGAUCUAGACUGACACAAGCAGGAUACUGGCUGGAGCAGAAACGUUAUGGCUCAGAACAUCCAUUCCACCCACUCUCUCUUUGUAGAUCUCCGGUGUGUGUUUUAUUAUCUUAUCCACCAUGAGCCAUUGGAAGUGAGUGAAGUCAGAGCUCAGGUAUAACACUAUUAGCCAGUGGUGUGGAGUGAAAUUUUUUGUAGGGCCACAGAGGCACCAGCUUGUGAGGGCGAUUGUGGGGCCCAACAUUGCAUGUGUGACAUUGUGACGUCCUGACAUCACACAUGUGAGCAUCAUGCCUCCCUCCCUAAGCUGGGCAGAAGCUUCACGGGUUUGGGGAAGGAAGCGCAAGGCUUUAAUACUUGAAUACUCUAAUUUACCAGGAACAUUUAGGGAACUAGCCUAGCCCCCCUAGUCUAUUGACCGCACACCGCCGCUAAAAGCACACCUGUCAUACAAAUGCAGAGUCACAACUUGCAUUUUUUAUUUUAUAAAAGCAAAAUUUAUACAGUGGUACCUCGGGUUAAGUACUUAAUUCGUCCAGAGGACCGUUCUUAACCUGAAACUGUUCUUAACCUGAAGCACCACUUUAGCUAAUGGGGCCUCCCGCUGCUGCCGCGCCGCCGGAGCACAAUUUCUGUUCUCAUCCUGAAGCAAAGUUCUUAACCCGAGGUACUAUUUCUGGGUUAGCAGAGUCUGUAACCUGAAGCGUAUGUAACCUGAAACGUAUGUAACCCGAGGUACCACUGUAUACCAAUGAAUUGUAACAGAAGCUUAAAGCAGCUUAUUAAUUUACAAGUCUUGCAGGACAUUGUUCCUGUUCUUGUGGUUCAGGAAGUCCAGUCCCCAUUUUUAGGAGGGGGGAAAACAAAUUCAUGCAUGGUGUGCCUUAAUCUUCACAAACACUUUUAAAGCAAUUAUUAACAGCUUCGUGACUGAGUGGGAACUUCAACCCAGUCGCAAUCCAACAUUCAAUGAAAGUGUGCAGGUGAUUGAAGAGGAGGGUAGGUCAAUGACAGUACAAGUACAGUCGUACCUUGAAAGUCGAAUGGAAUCCGUUCCGGAAGUCCAUUUGACUUCCAAAACAUUCAGAAACCAAAGUGUGGCUUCUGACUGGCUGUAGGAAGCUCCUGCAGCCAAUCAGAAGCCACAGAAGCCCUGUUGGACGUUCAGCUUCCAAAAAUACAGUAGUUCACAAACCAGAACAGUCACUUCCAGGUCUGCAGCAUUCGGGAGCCAAAACAUUCAAGAACUAAGCUGUUUGAAAACCAAGGUCCGACUGUACUACCAAUAGCCAUUUGGCAGAGCCAACUUUUCCCUGACAAGCUGGAAACCUAGGUAACGUUUCCCAGAGCUCAGUUUCAGACAGAACAUAGAAAGCUGCCCUAUACUGAGUCAGACUGCUGGCUCCUGUAGUUCAGUAUCAUGUACACCGACUGGCAGCAGUCAAAGGUGGAUUUAGGGCAGCGCAACUGGUUCCUCUGCACGGGGCACUGGGCCAGGGGGGCACCGCAGGGCGCCACUGCUAUGAUGUAGUGCACAUGCAAAACAGAAGGCAAGUGGCAGGGGGCACCGUAUGUUGACCUUGCACAGGGCACCACUGAAAUUUGGAAGACCAAAGUCUGCCCCCCCCCCCGCAGCAGCAAUCUGGAGCUUGAGACAGGGAUCCUUUCCCAGCCCCGCCUGCAGAUUCCAGGUAUUGAAUCUGGACUGUCUGCCUUGGUCAGACCACACCUUGAGCAAUGUGUCCAAUUCUGGGCACCACAGUUUAAGAAGGAUAUAUAUUGAUAAGUUGGAAUGUGUGCAGAGGAGGGCAACCAAAACAAUCAAGGGUCUGGAAAGGAAGCCUUAUGAGGAAAGGUUGAGGGAGUUGAGUAUGUUUGGCCUGGAUAAGAGGAGACUGUGAUGAGAUAUGAUGGCUAUCUUCAAAUAUCUAAAAAGUUGUCACAUGGAAGAUGAAGGAAGCUUGUUUUCUGCUGCUCUGGAGGACAGGACCCAAACCAAGGGCUUCAAGUUACAAGAAAGGAGAUUCUGACUAAACAUCCAAGAGAGCUUUAUAAUGAUAAGAGUUGUUCAAUAGCGGAACAGACUCCCUCAGAUGGUGGUGGACUCUCCUUCAUUGGAGGUUGUUAAGCAGAGGUUGGGUGGCCUUCUUUUCUGGAUGCUUUUGUUGAGAUUCCUGCAUUUCAAGGGAUUUUGGUCUAGAUGACCCAUGGGGUCACUUCCAACCCUACAAUUCUAUGAUUCUAUAAUUAUGCCCGUUGUCUUUGUCCAUGGAGUUUUCUUGGCAGGGAUACUGGAGUGGCUUGCCAGUUCCUGCUCCAAGUGGAUCACGUUUGGUCAAAACUCUCCACUAUGAUCUGUCCAUCUUGGGUGCCCUGCUCGGCAUCGUUCAUAGCUUCUCUGAGUUAUUCAAGCCCCUUCGCCAUGGCAAGGCAGUGAUCCAUGAAGGAGAAGGACAGAUCCUGAAGCUGAGACCCCAAUACUUUGGCCACCUCAUGAGAAGAGAAGACUCCCUGGAAAAGACCCUGAUGUUGGGAAAGAUGGAGGGCACAAGGAGAAGGGGACGACAGAGGACAGGAUGGUUGGACAGUGUUCUCGAAGCUACCAGCAUGAGUUUGACCAAACUGCGGGAGGCAGUGGAAGACAGGAGUGCCUGGCGUGCUGUGGUCCAUGGGGUCAUGAAGAGUUGGACACGACUAAACGACUAAACAACAGCAACAUAAUUAUGCCCAAUUCAGAACAUCCAAAGAGAGGAACAAACAAUCCAAACGUGGCUCUGAAGGUUACCUGCCUGCAUUCCUGAUUAAUGUGUGUUGGCAUAUUUUCUCAUCCACCAAAAAGUAACCUGCAUAAAUAAAAGUUACUGGAAGACUUGAUGUUGCUGAUCAACAGACUUUGUGCACAAGGGAAUUCCUGCGAGGAGGCUGCCCAGCAAGGAAAUAGCAUUGCAUCCCUUCAAAUGUUAAAGCUCACCCAGAAAAGAACUGGAGAGGAUCAGAUGCAAAGUCCUUUCCAAGAUCCCCAUUGCUUUUAAUGGGCUUUGAAUCAGUCUCUAAUUGAUUCUCACCUGUUGAGUUGCAUUGGGACGCGGCCUCUUUUACGGCUGAACUUAGAGCAACGCAACUGAGAAGGCCGAAGGCUUUCUGACCUGUUGCUCGGAGCUAAUUUUUUUAAUGAUAGCAUCCAUUUCGCCUGCAGCCUUCGCUUCAGAACUUAAACAGCUUGUCAGAUUUCCCCGCUGCCCCUUCUUAAACACAGCUAAAAUAUGAAGUUCCCACUGAGCUUAGCUUCGCUGCGUGUUGAAUGGCUGAUGGCCAAGUAACCUGCAACAAGAUGAGAUAAUGAGAGAAAAUCCGACAGACUGUGAAAUCCGAACGGCACACCACUGAGCGUGGCUCAAGGCUGCGAGGAACGGCAGAGAGAGAACAGGCAUCUCUGCAGAACUUGAGCGAGGCUGAUCAGGAACUGGGGCUCACCUGGGAUUAGCCUCUGAACCUGUUUUUCAUGCCAAAACUCAGCCCAGAAACAUAUAAUGUACCAAUAAGAAGGGGAGAAAAGGCUGGUGUUUUCUGUUUCACUGAGUAACUGUAACCAGCAGGUCUACGUAAGAACUGGAUCAGGCCAAAGGUCCCUUUUCUCCAAGGGAAACUGCCUUGUAUCAGGUCAGAACAGGUAUCCAGUUGAGUAUAGUCUACACCAGAGGUAGCCAACAUGGUGCCUUCUAGUUGCUGCUGGGCCACAACUCCCAUCAGCUCCCAUGCACAUGGCCAACGUUCAAGGAUGGUUGACAUUGUAGGCCAGCCACAUCUGGGAAGACACCAGAUUGGCUGCCUCUGCUUAACACUGACUAUCAACAGCUCUCCAAGUUUUCAGGACAGGGAACUUCCCAGUCCUACCUGCAGAUGCUGUGGAUUGAACCCGUCCAGACACAUUUUGCAUGCAAAGCAGAUGCUUUGCCACUGAGCAAUGGCCUUGCCCUUGACAAAUAACUAAGAUUCCAGUCCUCAUGGUUCUGAAGAUUUAGAUAUGAACAGAGGAGCUGCCUAAGACCAAGCUCACUGGGUCAGUCGUCAUAUCUCAGCCUCACCAACCUCACAAGGGUUCCUUUAAGGAUAGAAUGGGUGGGAGAGAACAAUGUAUGUUCUUCUUGAGCUCCUUAGAGGAAAGGCGGGGUGUAAUUAAUUAAUUAUCAGAACCUCUUCAGUUUGUCCUGAACCUCCUGCCGUUCAAUUAGGGGCAUCAGGCUGGGGGAGGCUGCUGUAGAAUCAAAGAACCUGGGUAAUUGAAGUCUAUGCCACUGAUCCGCUCCACCAUCUAUUUCCAAAAUGAACAAUAAUGGUGCUUUAAUGGAGAAUAGUUAUUUCCCCACGUCAGUUCAUUAAUCCGUCGCCACUGCAAGCUCAUUACAACCACCCAGAUUCGGUGACGUUAAUGAAUGAGUUUACCCAUGGAAGGUCCUGAACCGAACGACUUCAAGAAAGGAAGUUGUCUCGCGUGAGGGAUGGCUGUUUACUGCUGAAUGCACAGAGCAGAGCCAGUUCAAGUUUGUUAACGCACAGGCCACUUGGAAAGCCUAACACAAUCCCGGAGGGCUGUGGCUAAUUAUAUAUUUGGUUUUCCUGCAGGUGGGCUGGAUUUGCAUGUCAUUUGCAUGAAAAUGGCGGGUGCCAGCUGGUGGGCAGGCUGUAUUUAUUUGGGGAUCCAUGAUAGAGCAUGGAGCCAUUUCAUCUAAAUCCCGAAAUGUGCUCAGAAUUCAUGUGAUCUGAAAUGCUGAGUAAUUCCAGGCUGUUAUUAUUUACGGGUGGCAUUCAACGGCUUAGGCCCCAUCUGCUCUAUACAUUUAUAACAGCGUAUCAUGUCUCUUUAAACAGUCAUGGCUUCCCUCCAAAGAAUCCUGAGAACUGCAGUUUGCUAAGGGCAUUGAAAGUUGUUCGGUGACCCCUGUUCCCCUGAUAGAGCUACAAUCCCUAGAAUAUUCUGUCUGUCCCGCCCCUCUUUGACACAAAAGCUUCCUCACUACUAGAACUCUGUAGUCUCAUCUUAAAGGUAAUGGUAAAGGGACCCCUGACCAUUAGGACCGACUCUGGGUUUGCGGCGCUCAUCUCGCUUUAUUGGCCGAGGGAGCCGGCGUACAGCUUCUGGGUCAUGUGGCCAGCAUGACUAAGCCGCUUCUGGAGAACCAGAGCAGCGCACGGAAACGCCGUUUACCUUCCCGCCGGAGCGGUACCUAUUUAUCUACUUGCACUUUGACGUGCUUUCGAACUGCUAGGUUGGCAGGAGCAGGGACCGAGCAACGGGAGCUCACCCCGUCACGAGGAUUCGAACCGCCGACUCUCUGAUCGGCAAGUCCUAGGCUCUGUGGUUUAACCCACAGCGCCACCCGCAUCCCCAGUCUCAUCUUAGGAGACUGCUUAUUUUGCUACCAAGUCAUCACAGCACAAGGAACAAUGUUGUCUAUCCAGGGCUGUCCCAAGACAUUUUGGCACCUGAGGCAAACCACAACAUAGCUCCCCCCCUCCCCCGUCAGGGAAGAAGAGUGGAGUGGAGAUCUACAUCAGGAACAAGGAGGGAAUAAAGAACUACAUUGAGACCUGCUGCUCUUGUGAAUCCUGCUGCCUGAGGCGGUCACCUUACCUUGCCUCAUGGGUGGGCCGGCCCUGUGUCUGUCACUGGUGAGCUUCAGGGGCUCCUUCUUAGUCAGCCUUGUCUGUACAGUACUCUCUUCAAAUGAUGUCCUUGAAAGAGGCAACGACUCAUCAGCAUCC